rnacentral:rRNA from 1 species
GGGAUUGCCUCAGUAACGGCGAGUGAAGCGGCAAGAGCUCAAAUUUGAAAUCUGGCCCCUCCGGGGUCCGAGUUGUAAUUUGUAGAGGAUGCUUCGGGUGCGGUCCCCGUCUAAGUGCUCUGGAACGGGCCAUCGGAGAGGGUGAGAAUCCCGUCUGGGACGGGGUGUCCGCGUCCAUGUGAAGCUCCUUCGACGAGUCGAGUUGUUUGGGAAUGCAGCUCUAAAUGGGUGGUAAAUUUCAUCUAAAGCUAAAUACUGGCCGGAGACCGAUAGCGCACAAGUAGAGUGAUCGAAAGAUGAAAAGCACUUUGAAAAGAGAGUUAAACAGCACGUGAAAUUGUUGAAAGGGAAGCGCUUGCGACCAGACUCGCUUCCGGGGUUCAGCCGGCUUUCGGGCCGGUGUACUUCCCCGGGGGCGGGCCAGCGUCGGUUUGGGCGGCCGGUCAAAGGCCCCUGGAAUGUAACGCCUCUCGGGGCGCCUUAUAGCCAGGGGUGUCAUGCGGCCAGCCUGGACCGAGGAACGCGCUUCGGCACGGACGCUGGCAUAAUGGUCGUAAACGACCCGUCUUGAAACACGGACCAAGGAGUCUAACAUCUACGCGAGUGUUCGGGUGUCAAACCCGUGCGCGCAGUGAAAGCGAACGGAGGUGGGAGCCCCCUCGCGGGGCGCACCAUCGACCGAUCCUGAUGUCUUCGGAUGGAUUUGAGUAAGAGCGUAUCUGUGGGGACCCGAAAGAUGGUGAACUAUGCCUGAAUAGGGCGAAGCCAGAAGAAACUCUGGUGGAGGCUCGCAGCGG